rnacentral:rRNA from 1 species
UCCAGACUCCUACGGGAGGCAGCAGUGAGGAAUAUUGGUCAAUGGUCGGGAGACUGAACCAGCCAAGCCGCGUGAGGGAGGAAGGUACAGAGUAUCGUAAACCUCUUUUGUCAGGGAACAAAGACUGGGACGCGUCCCCGGAUGAGUGUACCUGAAGAAAAAGCAUCGGCUAACUCCGUGCCAGCAGCCGCGGUAAUACGGAGGAUGCGAGCGUUAUCCGGAUUUAUUGGGUUUAAAGGGUGCGUAGGCGGGAUGCCAAGUCAGGGGUAAAAAUGCGGUGCUCAACGCCGUCGAGCCGUUGAAACUGGCGUUCUUGAGUGGGCGAGAAGUAUGCGGAAUGCGUGGUGUAGCGGUGAAAUGCAUAGAUAUCACGCAGAACUCCGAUUGCGAAGGCAGCAUACCGGCGCCCUACUGACGCUGAGGCACGAAAGCGUGGGUAUCGAACAGGAUUAGAUACCCCCGUA